rnacentral:lncRNA from 1 species
UACGAUUAGAGAGUAAAAAUAUUUUAAUAAAAAAAUUACAAAAUGACUUUACCGAGUGCUGUGGGUGUGGCCCUCGGCAAAGCGAAUUUUUUAAAAAAAAAUAAAAACAGAAAAUAAGAUUUUUUUUAAAAAAAAGGCUCUUUGCCGAGAGCCGGAUCUAGCAGCCCUCGGCAAAGGGAAAGUUUUUUCUUCAAACAAAAUGAAAACAGAAAAUAAAAAAUUUUCAAAAAAAAAAGUUGUUUGCCGAGAGCCAGAUCUGGCGGCCCUCAGCAAAAAGGGAAACACGCAAUAAGUGUCAGCCAGUGCUCCAACUCCCGAACGUUGCCAGCCAGUGCCCCAACUCCCCAACUCCCGAAGCCCAACGCUCGACGCAAAGAGACGCAACGCCCGGCGGCCGGAGCCGCGCCCGCCGCUGACCGCGGAGCUGCGACUGCCGGAGCCGCGCCCGCCGUUGACCGCCAGAGCCACGCCGGCC